UCAAACUUGGUCAUUUAGAGGAAGUAAAAGUCGUAACAAGGUUUCCGUAGGUGAACCUGCGGAAGGAUCAUUAACGAAUGUACCAUUUCCUUGUAGUAGUAGGCCAGUGGGUCCACCCUGGUCUGCUAUGAUAAUACCCUUAUUACACCAAAUGAACCCUGUCAUCGUAUGUUGUUGGGCAUCUUUGCCCUCUAAUAUCAGACUAUAUAACUUUCAACAACGGAUCUCUUGGCUCUCGCAUCGAUGAAGAACGCAGC
rnacentral:misc_RNA from 1 species